AUAUUACUAAGCGGAGGAAAAGAAACUAACAAGGAUUCCUUUAGUAACGGCGAGUGAACAAGGAAUAGCCCAUCACCGAAUCCUUCUUGAUCUCAAGUAAGGAAUUGUGGUGUAAAGGACAGUCUUCGUUAUACUUUUGUUUGCUCAAGUUCUCUUGAACGGGGCUUUCCCAUAGCGGGUGUAAGGCCUAUAGCGGCAUUCAAUUGUGUACCUUUGGUUGUCCCGAGAGUCGGGUUGCUUGAGAUCGCAGCCCUAAGACGGGUGGUAAACUCCAUCCAAGGCUAAAUACCGUCGCGAGACCGAUAGCGCACAAGUA
rnacentral:rRNA from 1 species